GACGAUGUACGGUAUAUGGGAUCCUCGUAGUAGGCUGGACCAAAAUCCAGCCAAGAGAGGGCAGCCUUUAGAAGCAACAGGUGGGGAAACCAAGAGAAGGCUUCGCCUUUUCUUAUCUUCUUCCCGGCACAAAAAGAGGGAUUAGUAUUAUUGACCCCAUGAGAAAGCACUAACACCUUCCUCGUUGGGGCUCCGCGCACUGGGUCCGCGACAGGAAACUACAGGUCCUUAUGAUGAGUGAGUGGGGGUUGCUCAAUUGACUACACUAUUGGUGCACUCUAUGCUAUCUCCUUUAUGAGUUUCUUCCUUUCUGAAAGUCACAUUGCCUUGUAUAUUCAGAACAGUAAUGAAAUGUCUCUGAAUCUGGUAUCCAAACAUUGUAAGUCGUACCCGGUUAUAUGUAUCACCCAACAACACGUCAAGGAUGGUAUCUAUGAGUUGAUGAACCCUCAUGGGUGGUCUUACCAGAGAUAGGAAUUUAUCCAUUAUUCGAUGAUCCAACGCGCUAAGGGAAUUCAUGUUCUCCGUAUUUACCAUUACCCAGGAUUCUUCCGGAUCUAGCCCUGGAAAUUACGCUCUCAAGGAAGUGAGCCACUCAAUCUGAGCCAGCGGAUUCUCAUUCAGCUGUGCCGGUGCGCAAAGCAAGCACGCUUAGACAACAAUGUCCAAUCUUUGGUCUGCCCAUUAAGGGCUGACUCCGCUAGGCAAGAGGACUACUACUGGGAUUCCCGAUUGUCCCAGUAGUAGACGAGUGCUUAAUCGCAGAAAGGUCAGGUUGAGGUCGGUCCUUACAUUCACGGAAGUAAUGGUAAGGAAAAUUCCUUACUUUUCCAUUUCUUUGGAAAGCUCCUACUAAGAUUAGAAAUUCCCCAAUAAAGCUGCUAGUGGUGCGCACACACAAAUGCUAGGCGAGAUACGUAGUUCUCUCAACCCUUCCUAUCCAUCAUUACAGACCGGAACUAGAUCGGAUUAGGUAGAGCAAGACCUUGAGCCUCUUGAGAAACCAAUAGAAACGACAGUAGCUAGCUUCACCAGAAGAUGAAGAAAGACUUCUAUAACUUCACUUCCCUAUUGAGUAGAAUGCAUGGCAAGUUUCCACUGCUUUAGGCUACUCUACUAAGACUUAGAACAUACCCUUCAAAUCAAAAAGCAAAAAUCAAGAAAAGUUCGUCGUCUGUGAUUUAAUCAGCCCUAAGGGAGUUUACUCGACCCAUUCUCCAGUCUCCCGCACUGCUCAAGUGUGCGACUCCGUAUGAGGACCUCACCCUAUCCCUCGCUCUGCCCAGCCAGGGCAUAGAUCACUCUCUGUUUACUCCUACUUCUGUGAAGAACAGAGGCAUCCAAAAAGAGACGAGAAGAAGCCCGCGCCUUUGCCUGCUUCCUUAGCUACGUCAGCUUUGCCUGCUUCCUUAGCUACGUCAGAAGGUAGGGCCUGAUUGACAGACGGCUCCGAAGAAGAUUUGAAGUUGUCCAUAAUUUACUGAGUACUCAGUAUAACUCACGCAUUCGUGUACAAACAAGUGCAGACGAAGUAACACGAAUAUCUCCGGUAGUCAGUCCAUUUCCAUCAGCCGGCCGGUGGGAGCGAGAAGUAUGGGAUAUGUCUGGUGUUUCUUCCAUCAAUCAUCCGGAUUUACGCCGUAUAUCAACAGAUUAUGGUUUCGAGGGUCAUCCAUUACGAAAAGACUUUUCUCUGAGUGGAUAUGUGGAAGUACAAAAAUUUUACUUCAAUUUUUCUAUAAAAUUGAAAAAAGUUUCCGAUUCACCAAACUAAUUCUUAUCUAUUUCUGAAGGAAUAAAAAAAUACUAGAAUUCUUAAUUUUUCAAAAAUUUUCUCAUUGAAACAAUCAAAAAAUAAGAAUAGGUUUUGUUAGUUAAAGUCAAAAAGUUAAUGAAAUAACUUCGUUACCUAGUUAUUACCUAAAGAAGGACUUUUAUUAAAAUACAAAAAAAAGAUUGAAUCAUUUUACUUUAAUAUUUUUUUGUAUUAAAAUGAAGCAGCUCCCUGACAUUACCAACGACUGGAACCUGCUUGCUUGAUACAAAGCUGUGGUAGUUUUUCCCAUGGAUUUCCUGUAAACAUCUGAACAACUUAGUAUCUUCUACCUGUAUUGCAGACGGAAAAUAUGGUCCGGCCGGCCGGAUCCCCCUGAAAACCGUACGUGCGGGUCUCCCCGCAUGAAAGCCGAGCUAUUAAUUGAAUCAUGCUUUUGAUUGAACGACAAAACAUCGAUCUGUUAAAGUCGAUAAUUCUGAUUCGUCUUCGGGGUAUGCCGUAAAGAUAGCCGAGACCGAGGAUAGGUGCCAAUCUGUUUUACGGGCUUCUAUAGAGGUACGGGAAACGGUUGGGGGCAAUAAAGUAGGUGAAGUGGUUGGAUUUUGUGAGCUGUUCCAACCACUGCUGGAUGUGAUUCCAAGAGCCGAACCAGAAUGAAUACCACACAGAAGAGUCAACCCACCCAUAGCCGGUCUAACUGCAGAGAGAGAAAAGUGCUUUUCUUUCCCUAAGAGUCCUCAAGUACACACAGCUAUUGCUGAUCCUUUGCGAGAUCAGGAUGAGACCCUUCAGAAUUUAUAAUCAUCAUAAAUAUGAUCUAUCAAAUGAGGAAAAUCCAAGCGAAAAAGCGCCCUAUGCUAUCUUAUCCAAAAGAGGUCGACCCUCCAGCUCUAGAUCCUUAAAACAGUGGAUUUGCAUAUUGGUACCAUUGCUUCAUAGAAAGGGCAUUAACAUACGUUUUUGAUCGAUGGAGUGUAUUUAACAUAUUUAAGAGUGGUUAGGAGAGAGAAUCAAUGUUUAAUAGUAGGCCCGGUUCACCAGGUUAUACCACUGUUCGCCCCAAUUAUAGUCAAAAUAUGAGUUUGAUCCUGGCUCAGAAGGAACGCGUACUUUGAGUUUUGAACAAUAGUUAGAAUUUCUUAUUAAGUGAUUCCCCGGUUUUUGAUCUUCUUUUAGCACAUACAUGCAUACAGUAGGCCAUGAAUUCCUAUUUGUGACAUCUAACUUAGUACCAUCAAACUUUGCAUGACCGAAUAAUUCAAGGAGGGGCGCACAGCGGGGAGGGUCCUUUUUAGUAGAUGACUCGUCGGGCCGUCAUUUUCUAUCAGGAAGGCUAUGUCAUUUACAACCCCGGCGUAUUUCGGAUGCUUGAAGGCCCCGCUCACCCGAAGUGAUUUAGAAAAAUUCUUCUUUCUCGAUGGUGAUCGGUCAUGGUAUCCAUAACGUUGCAUCUUUUUCGGCCAAAUCCUGAUUUCGUUUUGCUUCUCCUGGUCGAUCGACUCGACUCUUUUCCCUGCCCCCCGGCCUCUUACUUCGUUUCGUUCUUCCUCUGUACACUCGCUUGAAUGAAGACACCCGAUCGGCCCGACUUUCCCAAAUGCCCACCACCGGCCCUUAUCCUUUCCGGGUCUUGAUUUGUCGCGUCAUUUUAGUCGUAGUGGUCAAUAAUUGGAAAUCCUUUUUACAAAUCUCCUCCUCAGAGCGCCCUGUAACCUUACUUUUUCUGAAUGGUACACCUUAUUUAAGACAUUCAGAAUAGAAGAAGAGCAGUCAUCGAUUGAUUGAAAGUGGAUUGACGGCAUUCAUCAGUUGAUUGAAAAUGGACUUUUCUUUUAUGAUCGAGCGAGGUCCCUUUUGGGCUUAAAAGUCCUUUGAGCCGUGGAAUCCCUUUUGUCUUGAUUUAGGAGAAUAGGCGCAUUGAUUAGGUUACGUGGUUUGAGCAAUCUGCAGGAAGUUUAUUUUUUUCUUUAUUAUAUAUACCAUUCAUAUUUAUUAUUCUAUAUACCAUUCAUAUUAAAGUAAGACGGAUAGGGCAUAUUUGACUAGGAAGCAAGCAAAGCUAGUCCCUCCAUACCAGCUAGCAGUCUUGCCUCGAGAAAGGAGCUCGCAACAAAACGAGAGCUUUUUGAUAGCCCGUUCACUCGAUUACCACGCUUAGUAAGUCUGUCUGCAGGGAUGGGAAUGGCGUAGUCUGUCUGAAAGUGCUCUAGACAUAGGUUCAUCCCGAGCACCACAUAGUUUCCAGAUGCAAGCUGGCGGGGAAGAGUUUAUGGUUCUGAGAGGACAUACCGUUGCAAACUCAUCUGCUUGUAAAUUCAUUGUGUAAAAUAACUCGUAAAUUCAUUGUGCCAGAAUUGAUCACUGAUCAGAGCUUGAAACUCUUCACUCUGUUGUUGCAUCCGUUCGGCUAGAUCUGUUUGGAUCUUAUCCAUGGAUUCUCUCAUAGCUCUAAUUUGCUCCUCAAGUUGUCUAGAUCGGUGUCACGUCCCAAAUCGACUCUAAAAUACAUCCUCGAAAUUGUGCAAAGAAUAAUUAAAAUUCAUGUGAAAGCCUCCAACAAUUAAAAUGUGCAAAGAUAAAAGUCAAAUGAGGCUUGGAGGAUUUUUGUAUAUUUCCUAGAAGCCUAAAAUGCGUAAAUAAAUUUUAGUGGAAUUUUCAGAGCACAAAUAAUAAUUGAGAAGAAAUAAACAAAGUUGAAAAGGUUUAUAAAAAGAAAAACCCUAAAAGAAGUCCUCUUUCUCCCCCCCUUCCUUUCUUGGGCCGGCUCGGCCCACUUCUCUUCCCUCUCUCUCUCCUUUCCCCCGCGGCCCAUCGGCUCCUCCCAGCGCGCGCGCCGCUGACAGGCGGGCCCGCCCGCCACCCUCGCUGACGGGUGGGACCCACCUGUCAUCGCCUUCCUCCCGCCGCGUCCGCCGCUCGCCCGUGCCCUAGCGCCGCCGCCGCCGCGGAUUCCGCCGCAUCCCGCCGUCCCCGCGCACCAUAAAGAGGGGGGAAAUAUUCCCCGCGAUUCCCUCUCCCGUUUCCCCCGUUUUCCUCUCUCUCUCUCCCUCGGAUUCGUCCCGAUUCAUGCCCGCAAAGUUCGCCGGCGCAAUCAAUGGCGGCCGAGAUCUCCGCGCCGGUUUCCAUCUCCUCCGGCCGCUCUCUCCUCCUCUCGGCCCUAUUUAAACGUCUCCCGUGCCUCUCUCCUCCGUUUCCGCCGUUCGCCGCUCGCUCUCACCGUCGCAUUCGUGCUCGCGCCGUCUUCCUCUCUCUCCGCCGUCGCCGACAAGCUCCGGUUCGCCGCCGCCGUCGCUCCGGACUUCCUCCCCACUCGGCGUCACCUCCAUCGGCUUCGCCGCGUUCCCGUCGACCUCGUCCGCGCCUCCGUUUCGCUCGCCGACCGCCGGAGCACCGUCGUCCUCGUCGUCCCGAACCGCGCCGCCGCCUUCCUCCGCUUCGGCCGCCGUUCCCGUCGUCGCCGUCGACCGGGGUGAGCCGAAGACCGCUCCAUUCGCUUCCCCCUUCCCUCCUCUCUCUCGGGUGCCGCUCCGCCGCGCCGGUGGUCGCCGGCGGUGACCAUCGGGGCGCGGGCGCGUCCCCCUCCCGUCGGCCGUGCCGGCGAGGCCGCCUUCGGGCGUGCCCUCGCGGCUGCCAAGUGGGCCCGGCCGUCAGCCGCCCGCGCCCGCGGGUGCGGCUGACGCGUGGGACCCACGGCACCGGCCGCCGUCAGCCGUGUGCGCCCGGUCCACCAUGGACCGAGAGGCUGACGCGUGGGCCCCACUCCCGUGGACCCGGUCCGCGCGCCCUCUCCCGGCUGACGCAAUAAAUGAGAUUUUUAAUUAAAAUUUAAAUGAAGAAAUCCGCAAAUAUCCAUUAAAGAGCAUAUAAACUUCAAAUGGCCAUAUCUUGGCCAUUUGAACUCGGAAUUGGACCGUUCAAGUCUCUAAUUUUUCCUUAAGAAGUCAAGAACCCAUUUUUGUGCUUUGUUUCUGCUGUUAUGUGGAGUUUAUUAGAGUAAAAGCCUUUUUCUUUUCCGUUGGUCGUGUAGACGCUGCAGCUUCGGAAGAUCCGCUCUUCGUGGAAGUCGAAGCCGUCGGUUGGGAAAGCGAGCAAGGCAAGUCACAUCAUCUUUGAACAUAUUGAAUCCCAGUUUGUAAAAUUAUGUUGAUUUAAAUUAUUGCAUUAUCGCUUUAUUUAAAUUCCCGCGUUAUCACUGUUUUAUUUAGCCAUGCCUAUUUACCUUUGUUAUGACCUUAUUAUUGCUAUUGUUAUUAUUAUUCCCUUGUUCACCCUAGAGCAAACAAAACCUCAACUAGUGGACACUCUACUCAUGGCACCACUAGUUUAAUUUUAGGUAGAUGCUUCGCAAUUUAAUUAGGUAACAUUAGGCGGUUUUACAACUCUAGACUUUGGGAUAUUCUCAUAUCAUUUGGACACUAUGGAAUUGUUGGUUUAUGUUGGAAUUGGACACACACCUCUCUUCCUCUUUCAAAACCCCUAAAACCUGUUUUCGGUGGGGUUUGGGUGCAUGUCAGUUGUGGGAAGUAGCACCCCGGCCACUAUAAGGAUUAAGCUCGGGCCUCUGUUGCAAAGCACUACCGUACUUCCACAUGUCUAGUGGGUAAGGCUUAGUUUGUGGCUCAGGCUAGUCAUAAACAAAAGUACACGGAUUGGAGAUGGAUGAAGUCGGGGGUCGAUGGACAUUCUCCAGGGCAAAUGAAGGCUACACGAGCUGCGGCCCGGUAGUCGAGAUGUCAUACGGCAGAGGGUUGGUGCCCUGCUGCUAGGGGCUCAGUCCUGCCUGCCUGUCCCGGGGGUUCCGGCCGUAGGCGGGAUUGGGUCGGUACUCUUGUCUAUGGCUAGGAUGGGUUGGAAACUAUGUCACGUCUUCCGUCUGUAUACCGUGGUGGUAUGUGGCACGUGGUUACACGUGAGGAAGAUGUGUCUUGUGGGUAAAGAUGUACACCUCUGAUCAGAGUAAAACCUAUUCGAAUAGCCGCGCCCUCGGUUAUGGGCAAGCCGAGCAAUGUACCCAAGUCAGUGUUAUAAUUCUUAAAAUUUGCUCAACAACUAAAAUGUGGAAUGGUUGGCCUGGGUUGGCUUGGGACGAGCUGGGACCCAGGGUCGGGUUGCCAGUUCGGUCUGAAUCAUCGUAGGCCUUGGGUUAAGGCAGGUUCGUGUGGGUUCACGGCCUUGAUUAAUAAUACUGUUUAGUUCUAGGAUCGUGUUUACAAAAUAGCUUUGAGCAACUAAAUGUCUUUAAAUGCUGUUUACUGCAACCCUAACCCUUUAUAUUAUAAUUCCCUUGUACUCCCUUGCAUUUAUUCUGCAUUUGUGGGUGUGUCUUGUUGAGUACGGUGGUUGUACUCAGUCUUGCUCAAUUUUUCCCAAGCCCAGAAGAGGAGCUCCUUGAAGAUGAAGGCUUUGGUGUCUAGCUCGUGCCUGCCGUCAAGCGCCUGUGGUCGUCGCCCUAGUCUUCCGCUGUUUUUCGUUUGUCUCUGUGUGUGCUGGGCCUUCGCUACCCAUGUAAUAAGUUAACUAUUUACGCUUCCGCUUGUUAAACUCUGAUUUGUAUCAACUUUUGGUGUACCUUGCCUCCUGGGACAAGGAUUAAUGCACGCACGUCAGGAAAGCCCGUUGGGUUAUUUCCGGUCGUGACAAGUUGGUAUCAGAGCCACCCUUGACCCUAGGACGAGCCGUAGAUCCCAAGCCUUAGCAAUAUUUUCCAAAAAUAAAAAUCCUUUGUUAUUUGUGAAAACUGUCUAGUCUCUCUCUGUCUUGCUGCUUCAUUUAUCGCCAAAAAUCUGACCUUUGAAAAUGUUGCUUUUCUUUUCUUUGUUUUUAGAUGGCCGGCAGCGUCACCCGUCGUGGUUUGGACAUGACUGGCUUCGUCUUGGAGCUGCGCGGCAUGUGCGUUGUCUUAGGGUAUCCACAUGGAGUGGACUACCAGGCCAGGCCGCUUCCGGAGCAGGAGGGUGAUGAUGCGGAGCCCCGCGCUGGUUGGGAGGUCACUGCAGUGAUCCUCGCUGGCUCUUCUGAGCGGACUUCGCUGACAGUCACCGCGGGUGGCGACUCCUUCCCCGCCGCUUGCCAGAACGCCGCUCUCCUCGCCAUCGGCACUCUUCACCAGCGCUACCCGGACGAGUUGCAGCACUCGUCCUACCGCUACCACCCUCGUCGCGGAGGAGCCCGCGACUACGCCACCUUCCGGGAUGCUAGCUCGGAGGAUGACGCUACCGUCGUGCAUCUGGCACGCAUGGUGGAGGCAUACGACGCGGCUCGUAUCGACUUCCAUCAGAUGGUGCGUCGUGGGAUGGUCGAGAACAACCUGAAGAUCCUGGAGCUGCGUCAAGAGAAUCUGCAGCUCAAGAAGGACCUCGACGCAGUGGAGGCGCAGCUGCAUCAGCUCAAGAUCGCCCAGGGAGAGGUCUGCCGCCCCAAGCGUCGCCGCGUCUGCCGCAGCCAGAAGAUCACCGCCCGCAAGAGCACCUCCAGGCCCGAGCUUGUCCGUCAGUCCCUGGCAUGGACCUGCUUCGUCGAGACCCCUUGUGCCGAGCCUGCGCCCGUGGUUCCCCAGGAGGGGGAAGCCUCCGGCGUUGGUAGCACGGAGGAUGUGCUGUUGCUCACCUUCCGUCCUGGCCCGUCGCAGCAGUAGACGAGCAGUUAGUAGGCUUGCGCGUGUGUUCUUUCUCGUUUGUCUUUUUGGAGUCGUGUGGGGCAUGGUUAUGCCGGUGUGUGGCAUAACUAUGUCGGAGCCUGUCUUUAUUUGUUUGCCUAAGCAACUUGAACUUUAAUGAACCAAUUUAAUAGCAGUGAUAAAUUUAAGAAUAAUGGUAGUCGUGGGUGGUUAGUUUUAAUUGUUAGCUCUUUCCCUGUUUGCUGGUUCUGUGUGGGGUUUCCAGAUGGUGACGACCAGGAGAAACGCUGUUACCGGUGAUGGCAACCAACCUGAAGGCAGCAACCACAACCACCAGGGCAACCCACCUCCACCUCCACCUCCUCCUCCACCACCACCACCAGACACCAACGCCAUUCUCACCCAAAUCCUCGCCCAGCAAGCCAACAUGAUGAAUGCUUUCCUCCACCACCUCCAAAAUCCACCACAACAGAAUGCUCCACCACCACCUCCCCAACACUCUAAACUCGCCGAGUUCCUCCGCAUCCGCCCACCUACCUUCUCUAGCUCCAACAACCCCGUGGAUGCGUUGGAUUGGUUGCAUGCCGUGGGGAAAAAGCUAGACACGGUGCAGUGUACCGAUGAGGAGAAAGUCAUCUUCGCCGCCCACCAACUGCAGGGGCCCGCAUCUCUCUGGUGGGACCACUUCCAGGCUACGCAGCCAGAGGGACAGCCGAUUACUUGGGCCCGCUUCACCGCCGCUUUCCGGAGAACCCAUGUGCCCGCUGGAGUCGUGGCCCUUAAGAAAAGGGAAUUCCGAGAGUUGAAGCAAGGCAACCGCUCCGUGCUGGAGUAUUUGCAUGAAUUCAACAAUCUGGCCCGUUACGCUCCGGAGGAUGUGCGGGGAGAUGAGGAGAAGCAAGAGAAGUUCCUGGCAGGAAUGGACCCUGAGCUGUCCGUCCGCCUAGUCUCUGGGGACUAUCCGGAUUUCCAACGACUGGUGGACAAGAGCAUCCGCUUGGAAGCCAAGCACAAGGAACUGGAGUCGCACAAGCGCCGCUUGGCGAAUUUCCGCAAUCAACAGGGUGCUAACCAGAGGGUCCGCUACACCAAUCCCUAUCCAGGGGGAUCCUCCUCGCAGCAGCAACAACAGCAGCAGCAACCUCGCCCAGCGCCUCGACCUCAAUUCGUGGUGCGUGUCCCACAGCCGCAGCAACAGCAGAAUCAACAAGGGACUCGUGCGCCCCGUCCUCCUACGCCAACUGUGCCGCCUGGUCAAGGCCGCAGGGACGCUCAAGGUCAGCAGCGUCUGUGCUUCAACUGCUUCGAGCCCGGGCACUUUGCGGAUAAAUGCCCAAAGCCAAGGCGUCAGCAAGGCCAAGCGCCUCCCCGCUCCAACAACGGCGGGAAGGAUGUCAUUCGGGGUCGUGUGAAUCACGUGACGGCCGAGGACGUGCUGACAACUCCAGACGUCAUCGUUGGUACGUUCCUCGUUCAUUCCAUCCCUGCUACAAUUUUGUUCGACUCUGGAGCUUCCCACUCGUUUAUAUCUGUGCCAUUCGUGGGGAGAAAUCAGUUGGGGGUAGAAAGGCUUAGGAACCCUCUGCUCAUCACCACCCCUGGAGGGGUUAUGACAGCAAAGUAUUAUAGCCCUGCCGUCCCUAUAGAAAUUCAGGGGAUUCCUUUUCCCUCGGAUCUGAUUCUGCUAGACACAAAGAACUUGGAUGUGAUUCUUGGAAUGAAUUGGUUGGCUCAAUUCCAAGGAGUAGUGGAUUGCGCGAGACGCACUGUCACUCUGUACCGAGGGCCAGAACAACCGGUUGUUUUCUUUGCACCCCCAACCUCUGUCAGAAGUUCAGAACUUCAUCAGAUAGGACUGUCAGAAAUCCCCAUCGUCAGGGAGUUCGGAGAUGUGUUUCCGGAAGAACUACCUGGUAUGCCGCCCAAGCGAGAGAUUGAGUUCCGAAUAGAUCUUGCUCCAGGAACCACUCCUCUGUACAAGCGACCCUACCGUAUGGCAGCAAAUGAACUGGCCGAAGUAAAGAAACAGUUGGAAGAGUUGAAAGAAAAGGGGUAUAUACGUCCGAGUACUUCCCCAUGGGGUGCUCCUGUGAUUUUUGUAGAGAAGAAAGACAAGACGAAGAGGAUGUGCGUUGACUACAGAGCUCUCAAUGAAGUCACCAUCAAAAACAAGUACCCUCUUCCCCGGAUCGAUGAUCUGUUCGAUCAGCUUAAAGGUGCCACUGUAUUCUCCAAGAUUGAUCUCCGUUCCGGAUAUCACCAAUUACGUAUUCGUGAAGAAGAUAUUCCGAAGACCGCAUUCACCACGCGAUACGGGCUGUAUGAAUUCACGGUGAUGUCGUUCGGUUUGACCAAUGCACCUGCCUUCUUCAUGAACUUAAUGAACAAAGUGUUCAUGGAAUACUUGGAUAAGUUUGUUGUGGUUUUCAUUGAUGACAUUCUGAUAUACUCACAAUCAGAGGAAGACCAUCAGCACCAUCUCCGUCUGGUGUUGGGAAAGUUACGGGAACAUCAAUUGUAUGCCAAGCUUAGCAAGUGUGAGUUCUGGUUGUCCGAAGUCAAAUUCUUAGGGCACGUGAUAUCUGCUAAAGGAGUUGCUGUGGACCCCGAAACAGUGACCGCCGUCACCGAUUGGAAGCAACCCAAGACAGUUACCCAAGUCCGUAGUUUCUUAGGUUUGGCAGGAUACUACCGGAGAUUCAUCGAGAACUUCUCCAGAAUCGCUCGACCCAUGACACGGUUGUUGAAGAAAGAAGAGAAAUUUGUGUGGAGCCCGCAAUGCGAGAAGGCGUUCCAAACUCUCAAGGAAAAGCUAGUUUCCUCGCCGGUGUUAAUCUUGCCGGAUACUCGCAAGGACUUCAUGGUGUAUUGUGAUGCUUCGCGCCAAGGAUUGGGGUGCGUGCUCAUGCAGGAUGGUCAUGUGGUAGCCUAUGCCUCCCGUCAGCUUCGACCGUAUGAAGGCAACUACCCUACCCAUGACUUGGAAUUAGCCGCAGUGGUUCAUGCUCUAAAAAUCUGGCGGCACUAUCUCAUUGGGAAUCGCUGUGAAAUAUAUACCGACCAUAAGAGUCUGAAAUACAUCUUCACCCAGUCGGAUCUGAAUCUUCGGCAAAGGAGAUGGUUAGAACUCAUCAAAGAUUAUGAUGUGGGAAUUCACUAUCAUCCUGGUAAGGCCAACGUGGUUGCCGACGCUCUAAGUCGAAAGAGCCAUUGCAACACUCUUAACGUCCGUGGCAUUCCACCCGCACUUAAUCAACAGAUGGAAGCCCUGAACCUAAGCAUAGUUGGUCGUGGAUUCUUGGCUGCGUUGGAAGCCAAGCCUAACUUGCUCGAUCAAAUCCGCGAGGCUUAGAAGAAUGAUCCGGACAUGCAUGGACUCCUCAAGAAGAUGAAACAGGGUAAAGCCGCUGGUUUCACAGAGGAUGAACACGGAACCCUAUGGAACGGAAAGCGGGUAUGCGUUCCAGAUAACAGAGAACUUAAACAGCUGAUACUUCAGGAAGCUCACGAAAGUCCUUAUUCCAUUCACCCGGGCAGUACAAAGAUGUACUUAGACUUGAAAGAGAAAUACUGGUGGGUUAGCAUGAAGCGGGAGAUUGCAGAGUUUGUGGCCCUAUGUGAUGUGUGCCAGCGUGUCAAGGCAGAGCACCAACGACCGGCCGGACUUCUCCAACCACUCCAAGUACCCGAAUGGAAAUGGGAUGAAAUUGGGAUGGAUUUCAUCACCGGACUUCCAAAAACCCAAGGCGGAUAUGAUUCUAUAUGGGUAGUUGUGGAUCGAUUAACCAAGGUAGCCCGAUUUAUUCCUGUGAAGACCACCUAUGGAGGAAACAAGCUAGCCGAGCUCUACUUCGCUAGGAUCGUGAGUCUCCAUGGCGUUCCCAAGAAAAUCGUAUCUGAUAGGGGAAGCCAAUUCACCUCUCACUUUUGGAAGAAGCUCCAAGAAGAACUGGGUACUCGAUUGAAUUUCAGCACCGCCUAUCACCCGCAGACAGAUGGACAGACCGAGCGUCUAAAUCAGAUCCUAGAAGACAUGCUUCGCGCAUGUGUACUAGAUUUCGGGAAGACCUGGGAUAAGAGUCUCCCCUAUGCCGAGUUCUCCUACAAUAACAGCUAUCAAUCCAGCAUACAAAUGGCACCUUAUGAAGCGUUGUACGGGCGCAAAUGCCGGACACCACUCUUGUGGGACCAAGUAGGAGAAAGCCAAGUGUUCGGGACUGAUAUCCUGAGAGAAGCUGAAGCUAAAGUUAGAAUCAUUCGGGAUAAUCUAAAGGUGGCACAGUCCCGGCAGAAAAGUUAUGCAGAUAACCGCCGCCGUGACCUGGAAUUCGCAGUGGACGACUUUGUGUAUCUUCGGGUCACGCCAUUGCGAGGUGUACACAGGUUUCAGACGAAAGGGAAGCUCGCACCUCGGUAUGUGGGUCCUUUCCGUAUCGUUGCUCGACGUGGAGAAGUCGCUUACCAAUUGGAGCUGCCCGCCUCCUUGGGCAACGUGCAUGAUGUGUUUCAUGUGUCGCAACUCAAGAAGUGUCUCCGAGUGCCAUCCGAGCAGGCCGACUCAGAGCAAAUUGAAGUUCGCGAAGAUUUGACCUAUGUGGAAAGGCCAGUGAAAAUCCUGGACACCAUGGAGCGCAGGACCAGGAACCGGGUAAUCCGUUUUUGCAAGGUCCAGUGGAGCAACCACGCCGAAGAAGAAGCUACCUGGGAGCGUGAAGACGAGCUGAAGGCAGCCCAUCCCGAUCUCUUCGCCAGUUCUUCCGAAUCUCGGGGUCGAGAUUCCGUUUAAGGGGGGUAGGUUUGUCACGUCCCAAAUCGACUCUAAAAUACAUCCUCGAAAUUGUGCAAAGAAUAAUUAAAAUUCAUGUGAAAGCCUCCAACAAUUAAAAUGUGCAAAGAUAAAAGUCAAAUGAGGCUUGGAGGAUUUUUGUAUAUUUCCUAGAAGCCUAAAAUGCGUAAAUAAAUUUUAGUGGAAUUUUCAGAGCACAAAUAAUAAUUGAGAAGAAAUAAACAAAGUUGAAAAGGUUUAUAAAAAGAAAAACCCUAAAAGAAGUCCUCUUUCUCCCCCCCUUCCUUUCUUGGGCCGGCUCGGCCCACUUCUCUUCCCUCUCUCUCUCCUUUCCCCCGCGGCCCAUCGGCUCCUCCCAGCGCGCGCGCCGCUGACAGGCGGGCCCGCCCGCCACCCUCGCUGAUGGGUGGGACCCACCUGUCAUCGCCUUCCUCCCGCCGCGUCCGCCGCUCGCCCGUGCCCUAGCGCCGCCGCCGCCGCGGAUUCCGCCGCAUCCCGCCGUCCCCGCGCGCCAUAAAGAGGGGGGAAAUAUUCCCCGCGAUUCCCUCUCCCGUUUCCCCCGUUUUCCUCUCUCUCUCUCCCUCGGAUUCGUCCGAUUUUGUGCCCGCAAAGUUCGCCGGCGCAAUCAAUGGCGGCCGAGAUCUCCGCGCCGGUUUCCAUCUCCUCCGGCCGCUCUCUCCUCCUCUCGGCCCUAUUUAAACGUCUCCCGUGCCUCUCUCCUCCGUUUCCGCCGUUCGCCGCUCGCUCUCACCGUCGCAUUCGUGCUCGCGCCGUCUUCCUCUCUCUCCGCCGUCGCCGACAAGCUCCGGUUCGCCGCCGCCGUCGCUCCGGACUUCCUCCCCACUCGGCGUCACCUCCAUCGGCUUCGCCGCGUUCCCGUCGACCUCGUUCGCGCCUCCGUUUCGCUCGCCGACCGACGGAGCGCCGUCAUCCUCGUCGUCCCGAACCGCGCCGCCGCCUUCUUCCGCUUCGGCCGCCGUUCCCGUCGUCGCCGUCGACCGGGGUGAGCCGAAGACCGCUCCAUUCGCUUCCCCCUUCCCUCCUCUCUCUCGGGUGCCGCUCCGCCGCGCCGGUGGUCGCCGGCGGUGACCAUCGGGGCGCGGGCGCGUCCCCCUACCUUCGGCCGUGCCGGCGAGGCCGCCUUCGGGCGCGCCCUCGCGGCUGCCAGGUGGGACCCGGCCGUCAGCCGCCCGAGCCCGCGGGUGCGGCUGACGCGUGGGACCCACGGCACCGGCCGCCGUCAGCCGUGUGCGCCCGGUCCAACCGUGGACCGAGAGGCUGACGCGUGGGCCCCACUCCCGUGGACCCGGUCCGCGCGCCCUCUCCCGGCUGACGCAAUAAAUGAGAUUUUUUAAUUAAAACUUUAAAUGAAGAAAUCCGCAAAUAUCCAUUAAAGAGCAUAUAAACUUCAAAUGGCCAUAUCUUGGCCAUUUGAACUCGGAAUUGGACCGUUCAAGUCUCUAAUUUUUCCUUAAGAAGUCAAGAACCCAUUUUUGUGCUUUGUUUCUGUUGUUAUGUGGAGUUUAUUAGAGUAAAAGCCUUUUUCUUUUCCGUUGGUCGUGUAGACGCUGCAGCUUCGGAAGAUCCGCUCUUCGUGGAAGUCGAAGCCGUCGGUUGGGAAAGCGAGCAAGGCAAGUCACAUCAUCUUUGAACAUAUUGAAUCCCAGUUUGUAAAAUUAUGUUGAUUUAAAUUAUUGCAUUAUCGCUUUAUUUAAAUUCCCGCGUUAUCACUGUUUUAUUUAGCCAUGCCUAUUUACCUUUGUUAUGACCUUAUUAUUGCUAUUGUUAUUAUUAUUCCCUUGUUCACCCUAGAGCAAACAAAACCUCAACUAGUGGACACUCUACUCAUGGCACCACUAGUUUAAUUUUAGGUAGAUGCUUCGCAAUUUAAUUAGGUAACAUUAGGCGGUUUUACAACUCUAGACUUUGGGAUAUUCUCAUAUCAUUUGGACACUAUGGAAUGGUUGGCUUAUGUUGGAAUUGGACACACACCUCUCUUCCUCUUUCAAAACCCCUAAAACCUGUUUUCGGUGGGGUUUGGGUGCAUGCCAGUUGUGGGAAGUAGCACCCCGGCCACUAUAAGGAUUAAGCUCGGGCCUCUGUUGCAAAGCACUACCGUACUUCCACAUGUCUAGUGGGUAAGGCUUAGUUUGUGGCUCAGGCUAGUCAUAAACAAAAGUACACGGAUUGGAGAUGGAUGAAGUCGGGGGUCGAUGGACAUUCUCCAGGGCAAAUGAAGGCUACACGAGCUGUGGCCCGGUAGUCGAGAUGUCAUACGGCAGAGGGUUGGUGCCCUGCUGCUAGGGGCUCAGUCCUGCCUGCCUGUCCCGGGGGUUCCGGCCGUAGGCGGGAUUGGGUCGGUACUCUUGUCUAUGGCUAGGAUGGGUUGGAAACUAUGUCACGUCUUCCGUCUGUAUACCGUGGUGGUAUGUGGCACGUGGUUACACGUGAGGAAGAUGUGUCUUGUGGGUAAAGAUGUACACCUCUGAUCAGAGUAAAACCUAUUCGAAUAGCCGCGCCCUCGGUUAUGGGCAAGCCGAGCAAUGUACCCAAGUCAGUGUUAUAAUUCUUAAAAUUUGCUCAACAACUAAAAUGUGGAAUGGUUGGCCUGGGUUGGCUUGGGAUGAGCUGGGACCCAGGGUCGGGUUGCCAGUUCGGUCUGAAUCAUCGUAGGCCUUGGGUUAAGGCAGGUUCGUGUGGGUUCACGGCCUUGAUUAAUAAUACUGUUUAGUUCUAGGAUCGUGUUUACAAAAUAGCUUUGAGCAACUAAAUGUCUUUAAAUGCUGUUUACUGCAACCCUAACCCUUUAUAUUAUAAUUCCCUUGUACUCCCUUGCAUUUAUUCUGCAUUUGUGGGUGUGUCUUGUUGAGUACGGUGGUUGUACUCAGUCUUGCUCAAUUUUUCCCAAGCCCAGAAGAGGAGCUCCUUGAAGAUGAAGGCUUUGGUGUCUAGCUCGUGCCUGCCGUCAAGCGCCUGUGGUCGUCGCCCUAGUCUUCCGCUGUUUUUCGUUUGUCUCUGUGUGUGCUGGGCCUUCGCUGCCCAUGUAAUAAGUUAACUAUUUACGCUUCCGCUUGUUAAACUCUGAUUUGUAUCAACUUUUGGUGUACCUUGCCUCCUGGGACAAGGAUUAAUGCACGCACGUCAGGAAAGCCCGUUGGGUUAUUUCCGGUCGUGACAAUCGGGUCUGAGUUCCUUCGUUUGCCAUGAUCGAGCUCUGAUAGUCUAGUUGAGCAAAGGCCCAUGCCAAUGCCAUAGUUGUGACGAAAGCGAACUGAGCCAUUUUCAUGAUUUUGCAAUCAAAGAAAGUUCCAUACUUUUUUAUUCCCGGUAUGGAGCCAACGUCGCUUCGCUUUCGCAAGACAAUUUCCUUCUGGAAAAAUAUCAGCAAUCAAAUUAUCGUAAAUAGAUAGUACGGUUGCGUUGUUUCAAUUUCUGUUCGUUGGUCCUUGGGUUACGAAGGUGUGGGUUUACUAAUACGGAGAGCGCUAUGUACUAGUUGACGAGCUUGCCUCCAGUACUUGAUAGAAGCCCAUGACUCUCUAUCUGAAAGUGGUCUUGGCCGUAAGCCGAUAGGCGUAGUUGUAGCGAAGCGGCGUGUAUCGUAGUUGUUCGGAUAGCAAGCUACCUGACGUGAUAAGGCUACUAGUGCCCUCCACUCGUGCCUACUUUCACUAACCUAUAGCUAUUGCAUGCAAGCUCAAUCUUCUAUCUCGCAUUGCUACGUGCUCGAAACAGCCAAUUCGCUCGUAUUUUUGCCUCAACUCAUUCCAUGAAUGUUGUUUCAUUCCCACUAAAUCCAACUCAGUCUUUAUCCUGCCUUGGAGUUCUCUCUCAUAACUGAAGCCAGGAGGUAUUCGAUUUAUUGGAUUUCGAGCCCCUUUUCUUGCUCCUUGCCAUUAGCGCAGCCCUUUUCUUUUUCUUAGCUUUAUUUGAAGCGUAGUUUUUCACCUGAAAAAGAAGGAGCAGCGCUUUUGUAGUGACCCCCCGGGGUCCCGGGUUGCUUUGGCGCGCCCCACCCCGUCAGUCCUAUGUUGGGUAGGAGCGGGUCGAGUCCGUAUCACCGCGGAACAACUGCAGCGUCCGGAUCUGAUCUAUCUACUCGGCAAUUCAUCCGGUGACUUCACGGUCGCCAAAGAAGCCCCAAGAAGCAUCAAACAUUUCCGAUGAGAUCCAUGGUGCUAUUCUGAGAUAGCAGGCACUAGCUCCCAGUGCGACUUCAUAAAAAGCAAUCAAAGAUAAGAUCGAAGAAAAUGAAACGCACGUGGUGGUCAUUAUAGCGGUUCCUUCAGAUCCUAGAAAACGUCCAAAAAAACUGGCUACGGAACUACCGAGCAAAGGCAAAAAGACAAUAAGUAGAUACAUAAGAUCGAGUCUCUUCAAAAAAAAAUCAGACAAUGUUCGAGCGGCCUGUCAUUGAGACAAAAACGUGUUAAGCAUAUAAGACCUGAGACUUUCCUCUCUCUCCGAUUGCCGCUUUAUCGCAGAACAUCUAUUUGCUUUCUAUUCGACAAGAAGGACAAGGAAAAGAUAAUGGAUAUGGAACACAGGUCCUGGCACUAUUGGAAAAUGAAGCUCUCUCAGUUCAAACAUAUGAGAUUACUUACCCCGGGAACAAUUUCAGUACAUAUGGCGCAAGACGAUUCCACAUAUAUAUCGAGGUCAGAAUGGGAUCGGGUGUUUUCACGUCUCACCGUAGUGCAGCUUUAUACCACUGAUUUGACCAUUUUGCUGUGCUAGGCUGACCAUUUGGGGAAGAUACUCCAUUAAAAUUCUGAACAAGUAAGGGAACAGCUCUGGAUCCCAAGACAAGACUUCCUCUCAUAUUUAUAUUGAAAAAUAUGAAAACUAAUUAUCUUUAUUCUAGUUCCCUAAAACCCUUUCCGUGGCAUUCCUUUCUGUUCCACUCAUCCAACAUUGUUGGAUGCCAAAGACUUUGACGAAGACCAUUCUUUACCAAAGGAUGCGUCGAAGCGUGACAAAGAAAUGGCUGUCAAAGAGAAGGCCAAAAAUGCCAAUCUUCAAGCCAGAGGCGAGGGACAACAACCUUUGCCCGGCGGGGCGGCGGCUUCCUCAGAAAAAGAGAAAACUCUCUCACUCUCCUCUUUGACUGAACACUUGAGAUAGAUAUUGAUCAUAGAUAGGUACUCACAUUCACGGAAGUAAUGGUAAGGAAUCCCAGUAGUAUCUUCUCCCGGUGUAUGUGAAAGAGAAAAAGUGACGGGGCUCAUACUUCAGCGCUGCAGUGCUUGGUACUCGGACCUCGGCUCGAUGCAUUUUCUCUACCCCUUCUUACCCUGAAAAAGCAGGGUCACCUUGUGUCGUUUUUAUGAGAAGCGAGUUGUUCUAGGCUGGGCGGAUCCUGAUCUCUAAUACCGGUACUACGUCCUUGCCAAGAAUUACCAUAGGCCGGUCUUUCUUUGAAAUAGUCCUCUCACGCAUAUUCCUUUACUACCAAAGUAAUGCAUAUCCGGGGACCUUUUCAACAUACUUCUUUUCCUCUAUCAAAAAGCCAAUACCGACGCUCGCUUAUCAGCUUACCAGUUCAAACGGGUUUUAAAGUAGGUUCUACACAUUCGAGAAGACCCAGGCGGAUUGGAGUGGUUGUGCGCCGGGGCAAUCUCUGCUUGCAUUUCGCAUUGGAAUUUCAAGUACUAAGACAGGGGAGAGAUCUUUAUAAGGAAGGCUUGCAUCUGAAAAUAGUAGUAGUAGUCUAAGGAGUGAUUUGUACUGGAAAAACCUGCCAAUGGGAGCAUAGCUGGUCUUUAUUGUCCGCUCACUUCCUUCAAUCAAAGCAAGGGUUGUCUUUCCAGGAACUAGCAAACCAAACAAGCAGGCUAGCAAAACUAGGAUAAAGUUUGAUCCACCACUUACACUGGAAGGGCAAGAACUAAUGCUUAUGCGUAUUCUUCCACGGCAUAUAGAUGGUUAACUACUCCAACUCGAUGGCUGAGAGAAAAGUGAAAUCCUAGCUUGGAUAAGAAUCAUACGCUGCGAAUGAGCAGACGAAUCGACCGAGGGCUUACACACAAGAACAGAACCUAACUCUACUUCUUUUUCCUCCUUUCCUCUUUACUGCCCCCGCUAUACUAUCAACAGGUCAGUCAAUAUCGCAUCACAUCACCUAAAAGACUGAUAUCCAGCUCCAUAUAAUCCAACAAUUGGGCUCUAUUCUCCUGAAGAGAAGACACUUGAACUUCGUCAUGUGCUAUUGAGCCUUUUGAACCUAAGUGCGGACAUAAAGUCUUAGCCAAUGUUUCUAUACUAUUAGGGAGUAGAGUGUAUGAAUCUCGAUUUGACAUGACAGAGAGAGACUGUCAUCGCCAUCUCUUUGGACAUGCAUGUGUUAAGCAAAUGGACUGAACUGGUUUCUUCAGCCCUUUUUCUAUGUGUUGGUGUUCUAUAUGACCGACAUAAGACUCAACUUGUUAGAUAUUAUGGAGGUUUAGUGAGCACCAUGCCGAAUUUCUCUACCAUUUUCUUCUUUUUCACUUUAGCCAAUAUGAGUUUACCCGGCACUAGCAGCUUUAUUGGGGAAUUUCUAAUCUUAGUAGGAGCUUUCCAAAGAAAUAGCUUAGUAGCCACAUUAGCAGCGCUUGGGAUGAUUUUAGGCGCGGCGUAUUCCCUUUGGCUAUAUAAUCGUGUGGUUUCUGGAAAUUUAAAACCUGAUUUCCUCUAUAAAUUCUCCGAUCUAAAUGGCAGAGAAGUUUCCAUAUUUCUACCUCCAACAGACCGACAAGGAAUGAAGUCAACCUUAGAAAGUAGCCGAUGGGAGGUUUGAUCGGUUAAUGUGGAAAGACAACCCUUGCUUUGAUUGAAGGAAGUGAGCGGACAAUAAAGACCAGCUAUGCUCCCAUUGGCAGAAAUAAGGAUUGAUCGGGUAGUCCCGAUCGGUCCCGAUCAGUUAAUCCCGGAAGUCAUCUGCCACAAUGUCGGGAGCAUACCUCAUCAAGUUGUCGCAUUUCAUAUUGUAGUCCUGAACAGUACCACUCCCUUGUUUUAGGCUAACGAAUUGCUGUCGAAGCGCUUCCCGAGACAUCACAUCUAAAUACUGAUCAUUGAAUUCUCGCUCGAACCACGCCCAAGGAAUGGUUGGAUUUGAACCAUCAUUAUCUCCAUUAUGUCUCUUCUUUGCCUCCUGCCACCAAAAAGGAGAAAGUUUUCUCCCUUUUCACAUAACCGAGAAAAAAGGAAAAGUUACCCUACUACAUGUAUUAGCUAGUUUUGUCUAGUCAACAUCUAACGCUCAUUUCACUAUGGGAUUUAUUUACUCCGAUUGCUUCUACUCUCUUACAGCUGGGUGCGCCUAUAAGGAAGACUUUUCAUAGAUUGACUUUGGGCAGGCAAGUUGAACUAUCCGGCUUCCCUUAAAGUAUUCACUUUUCCAGGAGCCGACUUACCAGUUAGUACUGGCACUUUUACAGGAACAGUACCAGAGACUCAUCUCGUAAGAAGACAUUUUCAAUUAGACACUACUAGUCGAGGACUGCGAACUCAACUAGAUAUUCUGCACAUUCCAGUUUACCUUUUUAAAUCUUUUUUUAACUCCCCGAGCUACUACUCUGUAGAUUAACUAGUGUCUCCGAUUGCUUGGAUGAACAGAGCUCUCUUCUCUCCCAAUAUGUUUAUUUGACGGAGUCUAGUGCGUAUUCAUUUUCUUCAAGUCUUGGAUUCAAAAGGUUUUUUCCGGUGUAGGAUUCUUCCUACCCAACUUUGGCCAUUGAAGAAUGAGUCUUUGCUUUGUCCCCCGGGAUCCACCACAGGUUGGGUUUGAGAGCCGUGUGAUGGGUGACUAUCUAGCACGGUUCAGAGAGCACGUGUAUGUAGUCUGCGCUGGUGAAUACCACACGUGCAAGUUUCCCUGCAUGUGGCUCGUCCGUGAUAACUUCUUCGGAUUUGCCUGAACUAGCGGACCGAUCACUAAGUGGUUGCUUUCGCUGAUCGGCGCUAGUCUUUCCUGCUGUGAAUUUCCCAGGUCGAGAGGGGCCCUUUCCUUCUACCUUACUGAACCCAUUCACCAAUGAUUGGAGCCCUUUCACUAGUGGUUACUCCCGAUCCGAAGCACCCCUUUUCCAUUCAUAGAGAAAUCCAAUCGUCAAAAUCAAUAAAAAGGCCAUCAUGGACCAAGAUCCAAACAGAUCAAUCUUGUUAGGAGGUACUGCCCAAGGAAAAAAAAGGUGACUUCCUGAUCAGGGAUAAUAAAUAAAAUAGGAACCGGAUAAAAUCGUAUAUCGAAACGACUUCUGGCAUCACCGGAGGGAUUGAAACCACGUUCGUAGGCCGACAAUUUUUCUGGAUAGGUCGAACUAUUGGAAGCAAAUGGAAAAGGAACACCGAGUGGAAUCAAAGAAACUAGCGGACUGAUCACUAAAUAGAUACAAAUAGGUGCAAAUUCCGACAAAAAUGCACUUUCAUAGCCAUUUAUCGUGAUAGCGUAACUGCCAAAUCAUCCAAGUAAGGAAAUCGAUAAGCACGAAGAUUUCUCUCAAAGACGAGAAUAUCAUUCAGUCUUGAGAAAUGCAUGUGAAUGAGGAGCCGGUAUAAAUCGUAGGAACUCUUUGGAAGAACGAAUAACCACUGGGAUAAAAUGCCCCAAUGGAGCUUACGUUCUGAAUAUAUCCUCCUUGCUCGUAAGCAGGAAAGAUGAUAUUUCUCCAAACUGAAAUUAACAUAAGAUCAUUGGUUCACGAAGGGUAGAUUUCGCAGAUUUGACUGAACACAGAUAAACUAUAAACGAAAAUAGAGAACUGGAUGCGGUUAAGCAUACCACUUCGGAAAAGUGGAAAGGCACGGUGUUAAACCAUAGGCCUUUAACGGAACUCGAUCACUUAUUAGACCGAUAUAUGAACGGCAACCUCUUUAGCUUUUCCACUCCCUCACCACACCAACCACUGUGUGAUACUGAACACCCACACAAUCUCGAUUUAAAAGAGAGAGACUGUAAGGCUAGAAUUGGUUCACACAUAUGUGUGGGGGCCGGUCCAAUCACUCGGUAGAUCACGCUAUUAUGUCACCUUCAUUGAUGAUGCGACUCGGAAGGUAUCCAGCUGUUACGAACUAUCAGAUAGUCAAGAAUUGACAGGAAUGAAGGGAAUUGAUUUCAGGGAUCAGAUAAAGAGGGAAUUUAUGAAAUAAGAGUUACGAGAACAACUAGUCGAACGGAAGCAUUAGUUUCUCUACGAGAUGGAGAUGGCUCAUUCUCUAGUUUUCCUACGAGAUAUAAGUCAGUUUCUAACGUACUUUGAAGUUCAGGAAGGAGUUAUUAAUUAAGACGAAGAAGAACCCUCGCUUGGCUUUGUCCCGAACCAAGGAGGCAUGAUGGCGGGCGCGUGCGUGUGCCGACUGCAGAGACUACAAGCCGACGCCGGAAGCAUCGCUUUCUUUCUUCUCCCUCCAUUUUAUUCACUACUACCGCUUCUACACAUAAAUCAAAGAAGCAUUGUGGAAUAGUGGCAUUUCAUUAAUGUCGAAAAUGUUCUUAGUGAAAGGGUUGCCUUCCUUCUUUUCAAUAAGAAGAAGUAUUUGAAAUGAAACAAAUUCCUCUUCAUUCUGUUGUGCUCAGCGAAGGAACUGCGUAAGCAUACUUUUGCGGCACCAUUGGCCGAAGCAGACCUGGAAGCUGAUCUGCGAGUGAAUGAAAUUGAACGAUUAAUAUCGCCUUUCAUGCUAAAAUCGGACGAUUUCGACCUUACGUUCACGAUACUCCUUCCUGUCCUUGCGAUGUUUGGUUAAGUGUUAUCAAUCAGCUUUACUCUUCUUCCAGCAUUCUUCUAAGGUUUGCCUCUAACGAUGGUUGAAUAGCUCCUGUUGUUUUUAUUCCAUUGAAUUGAUUUCAUGAACUUCCCUCAAGCUGAAACCGGAACGGGAUUGUCAUUUAGCUUCAAUUUCUUCAGUCUCACAAGCGGGUCCGCAUGCAACAAAAGAAAUUGUAUUUGCCUACUACUCCGACCUCAGGAAUGCAAGCAAGCGAGGCCAGAACAAGGAGUGUCAAGAAAAACAGUAGCCGUUUACUCACAAGCUAACACGAAGCACGAAACACAUGGAUUCUCUGAGAACCGGACUGACCCAACCAAGCAAUCACUUGAGCCAUUCACACCUUGGAAGAGCUAUUCAAAGGUUUUCUGGCUGACUAUGAGGACACCUCUGCAUCCCAGGAGCAGACCGCUCCCCCGGAAUCUGUGGUCAGUCAAGAGCGGCAUCCGAAUCCCGCUCCGAUUCAACCUUGACCCCAGGGAUCUCCUCUCCCCAACUACACUAGGCUCAAGGUGGAAUAACGAAAGGAGGGUGCGUGCGAUAGCUAACCGAUUGAAGGAAAUUCCUCGCCUAUCUUAUUCUUUUUCAGUUCCGAUCAUCAUUAUACGAUCCAAGUCGUGGAAAAGCCGAGUGGGAAAGCCGAAACCGAGGUAACUUAGGCGUAGGUCAAAGCACGGGCAUGGAAAAGGGAUUAUAUGGCGUGCUGGGCUGGAUGAAAGAAGCAACUACGCCCCUGGUACAUUUCAACGCCCAUGAAUUCUAUAUUUCAGCAGUAUCUGAGGCCAUAGCUCUCAACUCAGCUUCAGCACUCGAGCGGGACACUGCAGUCUGCUUCUUGGUUUUCCAAAGGUCCGGAGGAGCGGAAGAGUUUAUAGUCGAGAAGGGUCGGGCAUUAGCAAAUCCUUCAAUCCCAACUCUUGAAAAGAAGCAUUUCCUCCUGAUUGUCCACCUUUUCGGAGAAAGAAGCACAUCACUUAUACGAGAUUCUGAAAUGAUUGUUAUCUCUAGGCACAUCUUAUGGGCGGAUGUUGCUCCUCGGAAAACGCGUAUAGUAGUCUCAUUGGCCUUCGUCGAUGGGACAAACGCUCCAGUGUAUGCGUUACAAGGCAACUAGCAUGUUGGAUUAGAAGUUCGUGAAAGUAUGUUCUCAUUUUUCGUUGGAACAACCAACCAUUUUCUUCUCCAAGUUGAGGUUCAGGGUUCGGCGGGGUGUGGCUUGUGGAUGGCUCUCCCCGAUCUGGAACAGCCCCGAAUACGUGUUCCAGGGGAACUUCCGGAAUUGAAUAAGGGUCAAAACGGGGCUGUUCCCCUUGCGGCACCUCUCAGUUCGGAUUGUUCUCUGCAACUCGGGAACAUGAAGUUGAAAUCGCUAGUAAUCGCGGAUCAGCAUGCCGCGGUGAAUAUGUACCCGGGCCCUUCCUUUGUUCCUCUUCCUUCUGCGCAGAUACUUUUGAUCCACUCCUUUCCUAUACCGCGCCCUCUGCCUAUUACGGUCGAUACCCAGAAAGUUGCCGACUACUUUUUUUCAUAAGGGGGGAAGCGAAGCUUAGUGAGCUUAGAGCGAUUUCCUCACAAAAAAAGCACGAGCGAGAUAUUCAUCCUUAACAGGGAUCUCAAUUGCGGGAAGAAGAUUUUUUCUUCAGGAUGGAGCGCAUCAGAUAUUAACAUUUUUGGAUUACUUUUUUCGGGGUUAAUCUGACCUUCUUUCCCAUGCAUUUCUUAGGGCUUUCGGGCAUGCCACAUCGCAUUCCAGAUUAUCCAGAUGCUUACGCCGGAUGGAAUGCUCUGAGCACUCUCAACGGAUCCUCCACGCGCUGCGCUGGGCAUACCAUAGUUCUUCCGUGCGUCUUUAUCGUGGCGGAAACAGAACAAGAGGGAAAGACCCGGCUGGCUCAUUCCAUUGAUAAGCUCAUCGGGCUGCUCGUCGUUAGGAAGAGAAAGUCCUACUGCUGUAACCGCAACAUCAAGCAAGUAGGAUCGGGAUUCAGAUGUUCAAUAAAUAGGUUUGUUAGAAGAGACAGGAAUUUAUUCUUUAUUAGUGCAUGCCUUUUUUUUUGUGAUUCGAGCAGUUCUUGUCACGAGAUGAUGGGCCAGAGAAAAGUUUGAUAGGAAAGGAAGGUGGGGCACUUCGUUGCUGGGCUGGAAUAGAAACUGACGUAUGGAGGACUUGUGAGAUCUUUCACUCUUCGACAACGAAAGCCUUGAGGACGUCAGCGAUGUGUUAUAGGGACGUCAACGAAAGCUAGUAGGGAACUGCAACCAGAGAGAGAGUUCUAGUGAGUCCAGACUCUUUCUUUCGUUCAUCAAAGCGAAGCAUGGCUGCAAUCCCAAACUCAUCCUUUUUUCCGCGAGCAAUCUACGUUUGUGAUCUCGUAUAUUUCGCUUCUCCGACAUCUUACUUAGUUUCCCCCUCAUAUUUUAGCAAAAAGCCGCUCCACAGUAGUAAAGUCUCAUCUUUUGUAUUGGCCGAAGUGACAAUAGUCACAUUACAAAGCAGAGCCCUCGUGAAUACACGUACCAUUAAUGAAGGAACAGCUAGUACUAAUUAUAUGAGGGAAUACUAAUUAUCUAUUCUUAUGUAUUCUCUCACAAUCACUCCUAGCAAUAAGUGAAAAGGCGGCUAUCGAUACUGUCCCAACAACCUCCUCUCAAUUGAUCCCUCGUUACUGCCCAUAGGAGAAGUAAUAGGUAGGGAUGACAGGAUUUGAACCCGUGACAUUUUGUACCCAAAACAAACGCGCUACCAAGCUGCGCUACACUCGUGAAGGUAAUGAAAUUAUCCGAUCAGCUUGCAAAUGGAGUCCUGAACUAGCCAGGUCUCGUUCUUAUAUGCUACCUAGAAUUAUUUAGAACUUAAAUCUUUAAGCAUGUGCUUAGUCAAGGAGGAAACUACUAAAGAACAAAGAAGUCGUCUUUGGUCAGUGAACCAACUUUUGCCGAGCCCCAUUGCCAACUCUAAAUUACAUUCAUUUCACCAGUCCGCCAAUCCAAUUAGGAUUCCCAUCGGUUGCAUCGCUCCUGCUCGCAGUAGUCGUUUCUUCUCCGGUGAAUCAAUUUCUUCUAAACAGAAUAAGGGCGGCAUCCUGCUCUCGACUAUCUCUGCCGCGGAAUGGGAUCGCUUGCCAGCUAGGCCCUCUAGAAAAAAGUUGGAGCAACAUUGUAUGAACUCUCGGGUUUGGAACAGAUAAGUUCUGUACGGAUAACAAAGAAUAGAAAUUGGAGAGCAGGUGCCCUUCCCUGGUUGUUACCUUCCCAGCCCCAAAGGAAAAGCCCUGAUCAUUUGAAAAAAAAGAAGCCAUGCAUGCCGACACGUUUUAACAGAUCAGUAGCAUACUUCUCUUGAGUCAAGAUAAUUCCAUCAUGAACUUUAUUAACUUCUAUGCCCAAGAAAUAGUGCAACGCACCAAGAUCCUUAAGGGCAAAUUCUUCUUUCAAAUCUUGAAGUAAUGCCGAAGUUGCUUUUUCACAAGAACUAGCAACAAUGAUGUCAUCAACAUAUAUCAACACAAAUAUGGAGAUUGUACCUUUCUUGUAAAAGAAGAGCGAAGCAUCUGCUUUUGACGGUUGAAAUCCAAGCCUAGCUCGUUAUUCUUUGAGAUAUGGAUAGAGUCUCGCUUCGGGGCGGGGGAAGCAGCAAGCGUAGGCUAAAAAGAGGUGGGUCGGUUUAGUCAUCAGCUCAAGAGGACAGGGGAGAGAUAGGAGACAAAAAGAGGCAAAGUGAGGCCCGCCCAAGCAAGUGGUUUGUUUUUGAGAGAGAAGUGUUUUCUUUGGAAAAGAAGAGCUCUUUCUAAGUUGACUUGCUCUGUUCGUCCGCUGUCAGAUCAAAACGGGUAGGGAUCGGCCCAGCCUAGAACAACUCGCUUCUCAUAAAAACGAAUCCCUUUGUGCCUGGAAGAAAUGCAAAGGGGAAUGCUGGGUCAGAGCCAAAGAAUGUGAACUAUACAAGUUCACAAUACCCUUUGAUGAAAUGAAAGAAAGGGUUCCGGUGUAUAGAGAGGGCCUGCGGACGGCUGUCCGAAGUGCAUGCAAUGACGGGCUCGGAUAGGAUAGGGUUGUGCGUGCCGGGCCCUUCGGGUGUCCAUAUUUUGGCCGACCCAUCCUAGUCUUUUGCGACACAGCUGGUUUACUUAUUUUGUUAGGUCUCGACUUCUCCGCUAUGAUCUCCCCAGUAGUUCAUAUAGGAGCUAUUGCCGUUUCAUUCCUAAGCAAGCUGGAGCACCUUUCACUCUCGGGCAUAAAGGCUUUUAUCCAAUUCAUUCACAGGAAGGGUAGAAGGAGCUUCAAAGCUUUUAGCCGGCGUUGGAGCUCAGACGGUGCAGUUAGUAUUGACCACUACCGCCAAGUCCAUAAUUAAAAAAUUGAUGAAGUCCACAUAAUGGAGCUCAAAAGCCGAUUAAAAAAUCUACUUUUUGAGCAUCUUGAAACCGCACAUAAAAAAUAUUAUGAAUGAAUCACCUUACAAUAACAUACGAGAGACAGCUUUCGAUUUUUUCGAACAACAAGUCGAACCCAAUGAACAAUUCCAUUCAAAGGAAUGUUCUAGAGGGGGCCCUUUUCCGCUAUAUUCGCGAUAUUGAACAAAAUGGAAGAAAUUCUUCACGAUUUCUAGAGUUCCGGGAUUACUUCACGGAAGAUCGGGUUAAAAAAUUCUAAAGCUUUCGUCUCAAUUCAUAUUUAGCCGCGAGCAAUCUACGUUUGUGAUCUCGUAUAUUUCGCUUCUCCGACAUCUUACUUAGUUUCCCCCUCAUCUUUUAGCAAAAAGCCGCUCCACAGUAGUAAAGUCUCAUCUUUUGAAUUGGCCGAAGUGACAAUAGUCACAUUGAACCCUCGAAUAUGCUCGAAGAUCUCGAAAUGAUCUUCCAGUUCCGGGGAGAAUUCGCAAAACUCCGUUUCCAUAAAGAAUGCUAAAUGACAAUCUGAACCUACUUGCUUACAGGAUCUUUAAGAAAACUGUGGACUUUUGCACCUUUCUGUCUAGCUUGAGUUAUCUUUUAGUUCUCUCCCCUCGGCAAAGUGGAUAGGAAAGAGUCUUGCAGGUUGAUCAACAAGUAAAUCCUCCCGGAUAUGAAAAGACAAGAUCAAUAUGUCAGCUAGCUUACUAAUACGGCAGCUGCUUAAACUCAUGCUGUACCUACAUAUCUCAUUUGGCUAUCCUUACCUAUUGGCUAUCCCAGGUGACCUUACACCUAAUGGACUAAUGCCAAGCUUGAAACUCCUAUGUAGAGGGAGCUAUCUCGCCUAUGUUUACGUUGCAAUGCUACUCCUCUGUUCUGUUUCUAGUGCGGUUAUGUGUAUUACAAGUUUUAAUAAGAGCGCACUACUCAUCCCAUGGGAGAUGGAGCCAUAGAGAAAUCCAAUCGUCAAAAUCAAUAAAAAGGCCAUCAUGGACCAAGAUCCAAACAGAUCAAUCUUGUUAGGAGGUACUGCCCAAGGAAAAAAAAAGGUGACGUUAUGGUAUUGACUACGAAGAGACUUUCAGUCCUGUAGUCAAGGCGGCCACAAUUAGACUAAUAUUGUCACUAGCAGUCGAUGACAUAGAUAGAGCCUCCUUCUUUGAUCCAUUCAUUGAUAACAAUCAAUAAACAUCUUCAACCAAUCCAAUACAAAUACUGAAAAAGAAGCAGUCUACCAACUUUUCUUUCACAAGGCCGCAGGCGCAAGGGAUGAGCGUGAAAUCCGUUGCUUGUUCUUUCGGUAGCCUUCUUUCAUUUCCGAAUUAGCUUGCGAGCAGUCCUUGCAUUAGUAUGAGUUCGUUGACCGCAUAAGGGCGAACAAAACGGAAUGUACCGGAUUUUUAGCACGUACAACCAUCAAACCAGAGACCAAAGCAGGGCUCGACAAAACUGAAAGUAUCAUGGUACGUCGUCCUCCCUUGAAAUGGAACUUGAAUGCUGGAGCAAGAAGACGCAUUCAAGUCGAUCUUAUUGCAUCACCCACACCUAAUUACAACAGUUGAAUGCUGUAUUUGCAUUUUGAUAUUGUACAUAGCUAUUUACUUCUAUUAUAAAUGUACCCUUGGUCGGAACUAGUUUUUUCGCUUUUUUAGCCGAUUUUUUACCUUUUUUGGACCCAUUCUAUAAAUGGAUGGAAGAAAUUAAACCAAUUCUUUCCCGCCAUAGGCGAAAAGUACUAAUUUUUAAUUCGCCUAAGGAAUUGGCAUUUUUCCGGGUUGUUUUAAAAAACAUUUGUUCCAGCCAUAGCGAAAAGUACUGAAAAUUCACUUUCCCUCGUAAAAAGGAAAAAACUGGGUGCAGAAAAAGGAAACUUUCUGUCCAGUCUGUGGCAAAAGUAAUACUUUUUCCAUUUUCCUUCGCGAUCGACCUUUCGGAUUUUAUAAACUAAGGAACCUGGUGAAAAAAGCAACCCUAUUAUUCCUGAGCAAAAGAAAGCUUACUACAGCACGGUCUUACGUCCAGGAUUGGAACAUUCCAUCUCUUCUUGUCCACUGGUAUAGAAAGAAUAUGCAUUUUCUUGACUGCUUAUUCAACGCCCUGCCGACUUGGAUACUGCUGGCUCUCUUGCAUUACGUGAUAGAAAUGAAAUGACAGAAGAACAAAGCAAGGGCUUUCAAUGCGCGAAAUCCGUUUCGAGUUAGAGUGCGAAACUUCUUGCUGCAGCCGUUUUAUUCGCUGCCAAUUGCACAUCAGGAGAAGAUGUCACUACAGAUCCUGCAACCUCAAGAGGGAGCAGCCUGUCCGUCCUAUUUAAAAGACUUUGGAUUUUUUUCUCCGGGGAUCGAGGUCUCAUUAGCCGAAGAAGACCCAGGCCAAUCCACGUGGCCUCUUUGACCAACGUCAGCGACAGAGACAUAGUAAAUUGGUCCGCGGGCAUCGCGAUAAGUCCUCUGUCCUACUACAGGUGCUGCGACAACCUUUACCAAGUCCAAACGAUUGUCAACUACCAGAUCCGCUGGUCCGCUAUAUUCACCCUAGCCAGCUAUCUCCUUUAUGAGUUUCUUCCUUUCUGAAAGUCACCACAGUGGAGAGUUACUAUCGACUUUCUCCAUGUGCCACUCGCCAGGGUUGAGUUGAGGGGGCAGCCCGUGCGCUAAUUGGGCUUCGAGGUUGGCUAUACGCGAAAAAAGCUCGCUUUCUACUGAGCUGUCCUAAACUGUUCCAGAAUGUUAUUUGUUUCAUAGGAAGAUUCCAAAAGCACAUUGUGAUGCCGAAAGAAUCUUCGU
rnacentral:lncRNA from 1 species